CGGAGGGGGCUAGCGUUGUUCGGAAUUACUGGGCGUAAAGGGCGCGUAGGCGGCCGUUUAAGUUAGGUGUGAAAGUCCUGGGCUCAACCUGGGGACUGCACUUAAUACUGGAUGGCUUGAAUUCGGGAGAGGAUAGCGGAAUUCCCAGUGUAGAGGUGAAAUUCGUAGAUAUUGGGAAGAACACCGGUGGCGAAGGCGGCUAUCUGGACCGACAUUGACGCUGAGGCGCGAAAGCGUGGGGAGCAAACAGGAUUAGAUACCCUGGUAGUCCACGCCGUAAACGAUGAGUGCUAGACGUUGGGGAGCUUAGCUCUUCAGUGUCGCAGCUAACGCAUUAAGCACUCCGCCUGGGGAGUACGGCCGCAAGGUU
rnacentral:rRNA from 1 species